GUCUGUCAAGAAAAUCAAAACAUAUGUCCAUAUAUUAGUCAUCGAAUUCUUACAGUAAGCACAUUUCUAUUCACGCAUCUUUAUCAUGCAACGACAUAUAAUUUCUGUCACAAGAGAAACAGGAACCAUAGGCUCCUAAAGGCAUGCUCAUCAUAGAAUUUGUCAAAGUAUGAAAAGUAUACAAUCAGAAAUCAACACCAAAUAAACAAUAAUAU